rnacentral:lncRNA from 1 species
AAACUCCGACACACUUUCUGGCAAGUAGUAUUCACCAUCACUAUAGUAUAACUACCAUUCACUGCUAAGUAGUGCAAAAAUUAAAAAAGAAACAGCCACCUUUAUGAGGUAACAAGCUUUAGAGCAACAGCAGAUUGUAUGUGAUUAUAGCUACUGAAAUGAUCUUGCCGUGUAAUGGGCUUAUGAUGUCUGUUGUAUAGUGGCUUUUUUUCUGAGCCAUAUAAAGUUGAAAUUAGCAAUGGUCAAGUAUCAAAUCUGCUGGCAUUUCACAACUGUAAAUGUUUCAGUAAUUAAAAGGAGACAAGGACUCUGGCUGUCAAAGGAAAGAAUGGCCCAGGAAUAUCUAUAUCUAUAUCUAUAUCUAUCUCUCUCUAUAUAUGUGUAUUAUAUAUAUAUAUUUAUUUUUUUAACUGAGACUUGUUCUGUUGCCCAGGCUGGUGCGAUCUUGGCUCACUGCAACCUCCACUUCCUGGGUUCAAGCAAUUCUUCUGUCUCAGCUUCCUGAGUAGCUGCGACUAGAGGUGCACGCCACCACGUCUGGCUAAUUUUUGUAUUUUUAGUAGAGACGGUGUUUCAACAUAUUGGUCAGGAUGGUCUCGAACUCCUGACCUCAUGAUCCACCCACCUGGGCCUCCCAAAGUGCCGGGAUUACAGGCAUGAGCCACGGCUCCCAGCCUUUUUUUUUUUUUUUUUUUUUGGAGUCACAGUCCUGACCCAGGACAGUCUCGCUUUUCUCCAUUGAGGCAGGGGAGUGGUGAGGCCAUAAAGAGGGCAAUGAGAUAAGAAUAGGAGGCAGCAGAGGAGUUCAGGGUGUGGACUUUAGAGUCGCACUGUCUGGGUUUGGGUCCAGCUCGGCCUCUUACCAGCUGUGUGACCUUGAGCAAGUUACCUAACCUCUCCACGCCUCAUUCCCCCAAGUGAAAAAUGGGAAUAACCAUGGUACUAAGUCAUAAGGUUGUUGUGAGAAUUAAACAAGUUUAUAAGGUGGUUGUGUUCAGCAUACUAUGCAAAUGAAUGUUUGCUACUUCUGAAGGAGGCAUAGCAGGAAAACUGCUCUAGAUGGAUGUAGCAGCCAGCAGUUGAAGCUAUUGGUGCAAAGGUGGAGGGCAGAUUGGAAGGUGCCUGGGAAGCGGUGUCUUGUCUGGACUAAAUACCUGAGAUUUGUUGUCUCAUGGCCAUAGAAAACUAGGAUGCAGACACACAAAGAGUGAGGUUCAGAGCAGAAGUCUAAUAGGUGAAAGAGAAGAGCUCUUUGGAGCAGAAGAGGUCCCAGAGAAAUGGGUUGCUGCUUCCGCAGUGAAAUACAGAGGAUUUUACAGAUGAGCUUGAGGAGGUGGUGUCUGAUUUACAUAGGGCACAAAAGAUUGGUUGGACCGGGUGUUCCACUUGCAUAGGUGUGAAAAACUGGUUAGGGCUAAGUACGUCAUUUGCAUAGGGCAUGAAAACCUGGCCACCGUCACCCUAAUAUUUUAUUAUGCAGAUGGAUUCUCCACCUUGUUGGAGCCAUGUUUUUUUUUUUUUUUGAGACGGAGUCUCGCUGUGUCGCCCAGGCUGGAGUUCAGUGGUGUGAUCUCGGCUCACUGCAAGCUCCACCUCCCGGGUUCAAGCUAUUCUCCUGCCUCAGCCUCCUGAGUAGCUGGGAUCACACGCGCCCACCACCGCGCCCGGCUAAUGUUUGUAUUUUUUAGUAGAGAUGGGGUUUCGCCUUGUUGGCCAGGCUGGUCUUGAAUUCCUGACCUCAGGUGAUCCACCUGCCUCGGCCUCCCAAAGUGCUGGGAUUACAGGCCUUUGCCACCGUGCCCGGCUGCCUGUUUCUUUACUGUACACCUGGUGACAAAAGGAAGAUGGAGCCUCCAUGUUGAACAUACCUGGACCCCAGGUAGCCCUUUUCUAUUGGCACAGCAGCCGGUGUUCACUGGUGCAAGCUUCCAGCUUGCUUAUCUAUGUUAACAGCUCGAUUUUUCAAGUUACCCUUUGUUAGAAAAGAAAUAAUUUUGGGACUGUUUUUGUUAAAAGGGAAAUUCCGGCCGGGCGAGGUGGCUCACGCCUGUAAUCCCAGCANNNNNNNNNNNNNNNNNNNNNNNNNNNNNNNNNNNNNNNNNNNNNNNNNNNNNNNNNNNNNNNNNNNNNNNNNNNNNNNNNNNNNNNNNNNNNNNNNNNNNNNNNNNNNGUGGUGGCGGGCGCCUGUAAUCCCAGUUGCUGGGGAGGCUGAGACAGGAGAACUUGAACUCGAGAGGCGGAGGUUGCAGUGAGCCUAGAUCGCGCCACUGCACUCCACCCUGGGAGAGAGAGUGAGACUCUGUCUCGAAAAAAAAAAAAGGAAUUCCGCCGAGGACUCUGUUGCCCUUACUAUCUGCUUAAAUAAUUUCUUUCUAGCUCCUGUAUCACCUGGUCAGGGAUCUCUGGGUGCUUGCACCACCUUCACAGCAUCAUAGAGGGCCCGAGGCAGGUGGCCUCUGGAGGGCCCUCCCGACAAUGAGCAAGAAACCCAAGUCUGGGGAGGGGAAGCGUCCUUUUCACCAGACUUAGCAGUAUCCUCCCUCAUUUUCUCUACGAUUUGUAUUGUUGGUGUUUUAAAUGUAAAGACGUUUUUCCUGAUUAUGAAGGUCCGGAGUAACUGCAGCAUUAUUUGUAAUAGCUAAAAAUUGGAUGCAACCUAAAUGAAUCAUUCCCAUAAAUGUUCAUUCCCCAUAAGGGAAUGAACAAGCUAAUGAUGGGAUAUUUGUUUGAGAAAUACUCCACAGCAGUUAAAAUAAAUGAAUUGGUUCAAUACAGAGCAUCCUGAGUGGCUCUCAAAAAUCUAAUGUUUAGUGAAAAAAGUAAGUCACAGUGUGAUAAAAUUUGUGUAAAUUUUGAAGAACACCAAGAGGAACACUAUGGGAUGUUUAUGAAGGCAGAAACUUCUAGGAAAGUGUGCAAACAGUCCGGGUACCGUGGCUCAUGCCUGUAAUCCCAGCACUUUGGGAGGCCAAGGCGGGCAGAUCAUGAGGUCAAGAGAUUGAGACCACAUGGCCAACAUGGUGAAACCCUGUCUCCACUAAAAAUACAAAAAUUAGCCGGGUGUGGUGGUGGGCGCCUGUAGUCCCAGCUACUUGAGAGGCUGAGGCAGGAGAAUUGCUUGAACCCAGGAGGUCAAGGUUGCAGUGAGUUUCAUGCCAUUCUCCUGUCUCAGCCUCCUGAGUAGCUGGGACUACAGGUGAACACCACCAUGCCCAGCUAAUUUUUGUAUUUUUUUUUUUAGUAGAGACGGGGUUUUACCUUGUUAGCCAGGAUGGUCUUGAUCUCCUGACUUUGUGAUCCACCUGCCUCGGCCUCUCAAAGUGCUGGGAUUACAGGUGUGAGCCACCGCCCUGCCUAUUUUUAUUUUUUAUUAUACUUUAAGUUCUAGAACACAUGUGCAGAAAGUACAGGUUUCUUACAUGGGUAUACACGUGCCAUGGUGGUUUGCUGCACCCAUCAAUCCGUCAUCUACAUUCGGUAUUUCUCUUAAUGCUCUCCCUCCCCUAGCCCCCCACAUCCCAACAGGCCCUGGUGUGGGAUGUUCCCUUCCCUGUAUCCAUGUGUUCUCAUUGUUCAACUCUCACUUGUGAGUGAGAACAUGCGGUGUUUGGUUUUCUCUUC